rnacentral:misc_RNA from 1 species
GAUGAAGAACGUAGCGAAAUGCGAUAAGUAAUGUGAAUUGCAGAAUUCAGUGAAUCAUCGAAUCUUUGAACGCACAUUGCGCCCGCCAGUAUUCUGGCGGGCAUGCCUGUCUGAGCGUCAUUUCAACCCUCAUGCCCCUAGGGCGUGGUGUUGGGGAUCGGCCAAAGCCCGCGAGGGACGGCCGGCCCCUAAAUCUAGUGGCGGACCCGUCGUGGCCUCCUCUGCGAAGUAGUGAUAUUCCGCAUCGGAGAGCGAUGAGCCCCGGCCGUUAAACCCCCAACUUUCCAAGGUUGACCUCAGAUCAGGUAGGAAUACCCGCUGAACUUAAGCAUAUCAAUAAGCGGAGGA